CUCAGGAGUGAAGUUUCUCUCUGCUGUACUGGAGAAUCCUCACUGUAAACUGGAGAUACUGAGGUUGUAUAAUUGUGGAAUAUCAGAUGACGGCUGUGGUGCUCUCGCUUCAGCUCUGAGAUCAAACCCCUCACACCUUAGAGAACUGGAUCUGACUCUGAAUAAAGUAGGAGACUCAGGAGUGAAGUGUCUCUCUGAUCUGAAGGAUGAUAAACGUUACAAACUACAGACACUGAAAGUUGGUUGGUGAUGAAAAAUUGUGUGUGAAGAUUCCAGUGUUCCUGCAUUUCCGUGUCUGCAAACCGAGAACACGUUUAUCUACAGGAUCUGAGGAGAAAAAGCCCAGAGCAGAAGAAGUCCAAAUCACAUGUAUUACUUUGUGCUUUAGUUAGUAUUUAAUAGAGUUUCUAUCUUUAUGCUACAGGAUCAGACCCAAUCCAUUCUUUAUUUUCUCUCUGAUCUGAUCUCCAUUUCUUACUAGUAUCACGUUAUCAACGCAGUAUGGGAUCAGUGCCAUCUUUAGUGCACACACUCUCUCUCUCUCUCUCUCUCUCUCUUUCACUUACAUACACACACACACACACACACACACACACACACACACACACACACACACACCUGGAUGUAUAUAAUAUGUAUAUGAUGUAUUACAUAACAUUUCCUACAAAAACACCCAUAAAACUAUAAUCAUUUUUUAUAAAGUAUAUAAGAAAAAUAAAUGGAGUUUUAUUUA